rnacentral:snRNA from 1 species
GUCCCUUUUGGCAGGCACAUAUACUAAGUUGAAGCAAUACAGAAAAGAUUAGCAUGGCCCUCGCACAAGGAUGGCAACAAAUCAUGGAACAUUCCUAUAUAUAC